ACGGGGGAUGCGAGCGUUAUCCGGAUUUAUUGGGUUUAAAGGGCGCGUAGGCGGGAUGCCAAGUCAGCGGUAAAAGACUGCAGCUAAACUGUAGCACGCCGUUGAAACUGGUAGCCUCGAGACGAGUCGAGGAUGGCGGAACAAGUGAAGUAGCGGUGAAAUGCUUAGAUAUCACUUGGAACCCCGAUAGCGAAGGCAGCUGUCCAGACUCGAUCUGACGCUGAUGCGCGAGAGCGUGGGUAGCGAACAG
rnacentral:rRNA from 1 species